UGGAUGAGCCCGCGGCCUAUCAGCUUGUUGGUGGGGUAAUGGCCUACCAAGGCGUCGACGGGUAGCCGGCCCGAGAGGGUGUAGGGCCACAUUGGGACUCAGAUUCGGCCCAGACUCCUACGGGAGGCAGCAUUGGGGAAUAUUGCACAAUGGAAGGAAGCCUGAUGCAGCGACGCCGCGUGGGGUAUGACGGCCUUCCGGUUGUAAUCUCCUUUUGACACGCCGAGGCUGUUUGAGGGGUACAUUUUUGGAAAGCACCGGCCUACACAAUUA
rnacentral:rRNA from 1 species